UACGAAGGGUGCAAGCGUUACUCGGAAUUACUGGGCGUAAAGCGUGCGUAGGCGGUUUGUUAAGUCUGUCGUGAAAGCCCCGGGCUCAACCUGGGAAUGGCGAUGGAUACUGGCGAGCUAGAGUACGGUAGAGGAGAGUGGAAUUCCCGGUGUAGCAGUGAAAUGCGUAGAGAUCGGGAGGAACAUCAGUGGCGAAGGCGGCUCACUGGCCCGGUACUGACGCUGAGGUGCGAAAGCGUGGGGAGCAAACAGG
rnacentral:rRNA from 1 species